GCUACUUUGGCAGCAUAUAGAAUAAAAUUGAAUGUUACAGGGAACAUUAAUAUGGCUCUACACAAGAAUGACACACAAAUCUGUGAAGCAUUCCAUAAUUUU